rnacentral:tRNA from 1 species
CGGGUGUAGCUCAAUGGUAGAGCGUCGGCUUCCCAAGCCGGUAACGUGGGUGCGAUUCCCAUCACCC